rnacentral:rRNA from 1 species
GUGCAGCAGGCGAGAAUCUUCCACAAUGGACGAAAGUCUGAUGGAGCGACGCCGCGUGCGGGAUGAAGGCCUUAUGGGUUGUAAACCGCUGUCAGGGGGAAGAACAUCGGAAUGAACAAUACUCAUCCCGACUGACGUUACCCCCAGAGGAAGCUCCGGCCAACUCCGUGCCAGCAGCCGCGGUAAUACGGGGGAGCAAGCGUUGUCCGGAAUUAUUGGGCGUAAAGGGCGUGUAGGCGGCGAGGUAAGUCGAAUGUGAAAUCUCACGGCUCAACCGUGAAACUGCGUUCGAAAACUACCCUGCUUGAGUACGGGAGAGGUGUACGGAAUUCCUGGUGUAGCGGUGGAAUGCGUAGAUAUCAGGAAGAACACCGGUGGCGAAGGCGGUACACUGGCCCAGUACUGACGCUGAGGCGCGAAAGCGUGGGGAGCAAACAGGAUUAGAUACCCGUGUAGU